AUUGAACGCUGGCGGCAGGCCUAACACAUGCAAGUCGAACGAGUGGCGGACGGGUGCGUAAUGUCUGGGAACCUGCCCGCUGGAGGGGGAUAACUACUGGAAACGGUAGCUAAUACCGCAUACCAUCGGAUGUGCCCAGAUGGGAUUAGCUAGUAGGUGGGGUAAUGGCUCACCUAGGCGACGAUCCCUAGCUGGUCUGAGAGGAUGACCAGCCAAACUGGAACUGAGACACGGCCCAGACUCCGACGGGAGGCAGCAGUGGGGAAUAUUGCACAAUGGGCGAAAGCCGGAUGCAGCAAUGCCGCGUGUAUGAAGAAGGCCUGCGGGUGGUAAAGUACUGUCAGCGAGGAGGCGUUACCCGCAGAAGAAGCACCGGCUAACUCCGUGCCAGCAGCCGCGGUAAUUC
rnacentral:rRNA from 1 species